UCUUCAUUUCACAUGCUCUCUCACCGGUCAGUGACGAGAGAGUGUGCAAAAUGAAGAGA
rnacentral:pre_miRNA from 1 species